rnacentral:misc_RNA from 1 species
AAGACUAUAGACCUGCGGAGUACCUGCGGAAGGAUCAUUACCGAGUUUUCAACUCCCUAACCCUUCUGUGAACCUACCUAUCGUUGCUUCGGCGGACUCGCCCCAGCCCGGACGCGGACUGGACCAGCGGCCCGCCGGGGACCCCAAACUCUUGUAUUCCAGCAUCUUCUGAAUACGCCGCAAGGCAAAACAAAUGAAUCAAAACUUUUAACAAUGGAUCUCUAGAUCGGAAGAGCACAC